AUCAUGCGGUGAGAACAAAGCGAACUAUUCUUUCACCUUUCACUAAAUAAUAACAUGUGCUCGUUGCAGAUAGCUGCAUACGCUAAUUUUUAGAGGGUUCGCCUUUAUAAUGUGAGCC